UCUUCUUGUUACUCAUCAUAAGUGACUGCUGGCCAACCAUAAAUUAUUGAUUGCAGGGACUUAUGGAGGAAAUCAAUGCUGUCUUAAGUAGAAAGUUAGAUUUCGAGGUGUUAAACUUUCUGGCCUUGAUCUUUCAAAACUGGAUUUGUCUUAUGUGGACUUCAUCCAUGCUUGUCUUAGAGAUGUAUUCUUCUCACGUGCAAACCUACAGUGUGCCAAGUUCCGGAAUGUGGAUGCUGAGGGUGCGAUCUUUCAUAAUGCAAUUUUGCAAGAAUGUGAAUUUACAGGGGCCAAUUUGCGCGGAGCUUUAUUAGCUGGUGCUAAUCUUAAGAGUGCAAACCUACAAGGCAAACUCUCUACACUCUGAUAAUCAUUAAGUAACUGUCAUUAGACACAUCAUCUUGAUCUUAAACAAAGUUUCGUUUCUUAUCAAAAACCAAAAAUGUCAUAUAUACAAUUUGGCUCCACUCAUGUAUUUUCUUGUUGCAUCAUCUUGUAUUUCUUGGUAAUUGCAUGUCUUUUUAAUGUAAACUCUACUUUCAUACAGAUCCACCCUUUUUUCUUACUGUGAUAAGAAUAAUCUUGAAAAUCCCUUACCUUGUUACCAUUUUAUUUGGUUUUAUUUGUUAUGGUGUCAUGGGGAUAUGAAUACUCUAUACUACUUACUGUAAGGGAGAUUGGAUAUAUUAAAUUUGACAAACUCUUCAGUGUUUUCUCUCAUUUUUGCGGUUUCUCUCCUUUGGCCAUGGAUUUAGCUUGAUUUUAUCUUUUAUUUCCAAUUUCACUGCAUCAGUUUUCAACUAUCAAAUAGGAUGGUGAUGAAAGUGAAAACACCACAACAUCAGAUUUCAGCUAUCCUUUGGCUUAAUACUAUUAUAGAUCUCUGCAUUGUUUAUUAUAUUCUUUAUAUUGAUCUUGGGUCAGAGUAACUGUAAACAUCUUGUGUCACUUCUAAAAAAGUGUUCACAAUUUAUUUAAAAGAUGAUAAUUUUCUUUGAUAUAAAAGAUGUGGAGGAUUUGUCCUACUUCAUUUGCCUUCUUUUUAUGAUUGUUAAUUUCCUAUCCUAAGUAGUACUAUCAAUUUUUUUAGUACUCCUUGCCAACUUUUUUGUUUGAAUAGUUUUCUUUUUUAGUUAUUUUAAUUUUAAUUGCAUAGUUUAUCUAAGUUUGUAGAGUUUUCUUUUGCAGAUGCAUGUUUAAUUGGUAGUAGUUUCUGGCAUGGAUAUGAUUGCUGAUAAUAAAUUCUUGUAAGUUGCAUGUUACUUCCUCAUCACGUCUGGACGUAUACAAAUGAGAAUCUUUGCUAUCAUAUUUGAUAAAUCUUUGUUUCUGUUUAUUUAGGUCAGUGUUCUACAAGUGUCCAGCCUUCCAUGUACACAUUCCUAGACCACCAAGUGGAGUUCAUUAUCCAAAUAAGUCUAUCAUCAAGAAGCAUGUUAAACCCACACCAUUUUUUUGGCAUGAGAAGUCUGCUGUUGUUGGACGGUUGCAUUCUUUAAGCUAAACAAAUGGACUCACAACAAAGACAAGUGCACAAAGGAUGAUGAAUUGAAGGAUGGAGCAAGUUUCACGCAUGAUUUACUUUUGUGUAUCUUGUAAUGUUUCUAUUUUUCAUUUUUGAAGUAAAAAUUGUUCAAGAUUAUAAAACUUUAUUAUGUUAUGCUUUCAAACUUAAGU